rnacentral:rRNA from 1 species
CCUACGGGAGGCAGCAGUGAGGAAUAUUGGUCAAUGGACGAGAGUCUGAACCAGCCAAGUAGCGUGAAGGAUGACUGCCCUAUGGGUUGUAAACUUCUUUUAUAAAGGAAUAAAACGAGGCACGUGUGCCUUUUUGCAUGUACUUUAUGAAUAAGGAUCGGCUAACUCCGUGCCAGCAGCCGCGGUAAUACGGAGGAUCCGAGCGUUAUCCGGAUUUAUUGGGUUUAAAGGGAGCGUAGAUGGGUUGUUAAGUCAGUUGUGAAAGUUUGCGGCUCAACCGUAAGAUUGCAAUUGAUACUGGCAGUCGUGAGUACAGUUGAGGUAGGCGGAAUUCGUGGUGUAGCGGUGAAAUGCUUAGAUAUCACGAAGAACCCCGAUUGCGAAGGCAGCUUACUAAACUGUGACUGACAUUGAAGCUCGAAAGUGUGGGUAUCAAACAGGAUUAGAUACCCCUGUAGUC